AUGUCUUGUCGUAAACGGCGACAUAGAGUCGAUGACAUUUCAAUAAUCGCCCCGCAGAGCCGCUCUCCGACGCCAAUGCGUUGGAGCUUCCUGCUUGUUUAUUAUUUUUCUCAAUUAAUUGCUUGUUCUAAAGUUUCAUCUUUUUCAGGAACCUUUCCUUUUGCGUCACUUUCUAACUCUAUGUUUCAUUUUUAUUUUUUCCAGAAUUCAAUUAAGGCCUUAGGAAGAACCACAAGACUUAGUCCCACGAUUCGGGAAAAACCUAUCGUCAACAAUCACCUGGGGAUCGGCGACGGACCAGGGACGAGCGACGAGAGCGGGCGCGAGCGGCUCAGGGACACUCGAUGCAGCUCCCACGACCGGCUCAGCGACGCGAGCAGUCGCUGCAGUUCCGGCAAAGGAUAUAUCUGUGAUAGUGAAGGAGAUGAUGAUAAGGUAAGACGAUGCACCAUUUAUUAUUUUGAAAUAGAUCUGGAAACAUUCCAUCCAGUACGUAAUAAUUUCAUGUCAAAAUAA
rnacentral:lncRNA from 1 species